rnacentral:rRNA from 1 species
AUUGAACGCUGGCGGCAGGCCUAACACAUGCAAGUCGAACGGCAGCACAGAAGAGCUUGCUCUUUGGGUGGCGAGUGGCGGACGGGUGAGUAAUGUCUGGGAAACUGCCCGAUGGAGGGGGAUAACUACUGGAAACGGUAGCUAAUACCGCAUAACGUCGCGAGACCAAAGUGGGGGACCUUCGGGCCUCACACCAUCGGAUGUGCCCAGAUGGGAUUAGCUAGUAGGUGGGGUAAUGGCUCACCUAGGCGACGAUCCCUAGCUGGUCUGAGAGGAUGACCAGCCACACUGGAACUGAGACACGGUCCAGACUCCUACGGGAGGCAGCAGUGGGGAAUAUUGCACAAUGGGCGCAAGCCUGAUGCAGCCAUGCCGCGUGUAUGAAGAAGGCCUUCGGGUUGUAGAGUACUUUCAGCGGGGAGGAAGGCGGUGAGGUUAAUAACCUUGCCGAUUGACGUUACCCGCAGAAGAAGCACCGGCUAACUCCGUGCCAGCCGCCGCGGUAA